UACAGAGGUCCCGAGCGUUUGUUCGGAUUCACUGGGCGUAAAGGGUGCGCAGGUGGUCGGGUAAGUCUGAUGUGAAAUCCCGCAGCUUAACUGCGGAAUGGCAUUGGAUACUAUUCGGCUAGAGGGUUGGAGGGGGGACUGGAAUUCUCGGUGUAGCAGUGAAAUGCGUAGAUAUCGAGAGGAACACCAGUGGCGAAGGCGAGUCCCUGGACAACUCCUGACGCUGAGGCACGAAAGCUAGGGGAGCAAA
rnacentral:rRNA from 1 species